UACGUAGGGUGCGAGCGUUGUCCGGAAUUAUUGGGCGUAAAGAGCUCGUAGGCGGUCUGUCGCGUCUGCUGUGAAAACCUAGGGCUUAACCCUGGGCCUGCAGUGGGUACGGGCAGACUAGAGUGCGGUAGGGGAGACUGGAAUUCCUGGUGUAGCGGUGAAAUGCGCAGAUAUCAGGAGGAACACCGGUGGCGAAGGCGGGUCUCUGGGCCGUAACUGACGCUGAGGAGCGAAAGCAUGGGUAGCGAACAGG
rnacentral:rRNA from 1 species